rnacentral:rRNA from 1 species
AACGAACGCUGGCGGCAUGCCUAACACAUGCAAGUCGAACGAGACCUUCGGGUCUAUUGGCGCACGGGUGCGUAACGCGGGGGAACCUGCCCUUAGGUUCGGAAUAGCUCCCCGAAAGGGGUGCUAAUACCGGAUAAGUUCUUCGGACCAAAGAGUUAUCGCCUUUGGAUGGGCCCGAGUUGUAUUCGCUUGUUGGUAGGGUAAAAGCCUACCAAGGCGACGAUCAGUAGCUGGUAUGAGAGGAUGAUCAGCCACACUGGGAGUGAGACACGGCGCAGACACUUACGGAAGGCAGCAGUGGGGAAGAUGGGACGCUGGGCGAAAGACUGAGGCAGCAAUGCCGCGUAAGUGAUGAAGGGGUUAGGGUUGUAAAGCUCUUUUACCCGGGAUGAUAAUGACAGUACCGGAGAAAUAAGCUCCGGCAACCUCCGG